CUCUUUUCAGCUAUAACAGAGUUAAGUGGAGGGUGAAAAGACUCUUUUGCCCCCAGCCAUGACCAAGCCUAUCUUGCACAGGACAUGCAGUUUUGCCGUAUGUAUUUUGUGUAUGUGUGGGCAUUCGUUCGUUCAGCAACUCCAGAAGCUUGCCGCCGCUCAUCUGGCCAAUCUCGUUGCUUCCACACGGUGAACUCGUCGCUCGCUCAUGAGCAGCAGAUACAAAUUGAUUCCUCGCUGGCCUCAUUGCUCACUGCUCUGGACCGGCAGUGCUCACCGCUCGACUGGUUGGGCUCCGGCGAGUGGCUGCGGCCGCGAUAGGUCGGAGCUAUCUGAGCAAGGGAGGCUACCAGAUUCACGCGCGCACCGCACAUCUACAGUAGCCCUGCAUUGACAGACUCAGAGACGAUCACAUUUGUCGAUCAGAUAAACACUGAUUACUAAUUGAGGCGCCAGCGUGGAGGCGGCGUCGAGAGUGGGGACGGGGACGGGGUCCAAGAGCAGCUUCAUGCGCUCGGGGCGGCGCACGGUCGGCCGGCGGAGGAGCUCGCCGACGGGAC
rnacentral:lncRNA from 1 species